rnacentral:rRNA from 1 species
AACGAACGCUGGCGGCAUGCCUAACACAUGCAAGUCGAACGAGAUCUUCGGGUCUAGUGGCGCACGGGUGCGUAACGCGUGGGAAUCUGCCCUUUGGUUCGGAAUAACAGUUGGAAACGACUGCUAAUACCGGAUGAUGACGAAAGUCCAAAGAUUUAUCGCCAGAGGAUGAGCCCGCAUAGGAUUAGCUAGUUGGUGUGGUAAAGGCGCACCAAGGCGACGAUCCUUAGCUGGUCUGAGAGGAUGAUCAGCCACACUGGGACUGAGACACGGCCCAGACUCCUACGGGUGGCAGCAGUGGGGAAUAUUGGACAAGGGGCGAAAGCCUGAUCCAGCAAUGCCGCGUGAGUGAUGAAGGCCUUAGGGUUGUAAAGCUCUUUUACCCGGGAUGAUAAUGACAGUACCGGGAGAAUAAGCUCCGGCUAACUCCGUGCCAGCCGCCGCCGUAA